UUUUCUUCAUUUAGGGCUCUUCGCUUCAGGUUCAUGGUAUUCUUGCCUGUGUUCAAACUCACUUGUCUGUUUAACUUUUACCGCCAUAGAAACUUCAAUCCAGCUGCUUCAAUGGCUCCUUGAGUAUUUUCAGCUUCUUCCAUAAUUGAAUCAUGAGGACGGAGACAAUAGCUGCAGGUUAAUUGCAAUGGUAUUGUGGGCUAGUAUAAUUGAAUCAUGGUUAAACACCAGACAAAAAUGAAGAAAUUGCAUGCUUGAUUCCAUAAUAAUCAAUGCUUCAAGUCAAGUAACCAACUGAUAACUGAAAGGAUCGAAGUUGAUGGAAUCCAGGGGCAAGAAAGGAGUGAUCGAUGUCUGAAGAGAAGCGCCCUAUGGAACACUUUGCGUUGCCUUUCUUAAAGUUCAUCCUCCUCUAGUUAUUCUGUGGAGAAAAAAGGAGAGGGAAUCGGUGCUCGAACUUGCCUUAUGUUCCAACUAUUUUACAAUUUGUUUUAAAUAAAAAGGUAAGAACCCAAGAACAAUAUUACAAGGCUCUGAUUUAUCCACAUGCUGUACAGCUAGAAUUUUAAAGAGAACGAGCCAGAAACAAAUUCUCGCGUUCUCUGUUCGAAGUCAUGUUGUGUUGUUUUCUUCUUUUUAAGGUUCUUCACUUCAAGUCCAUAAUAUUCUUUAUUCCAAGGAAUAAGAAAUUGUUCGGUCCUUCUGCAUUUCUCUUUCAAUAACCAAUGUUGUGUUUCCAUUGAAAUUUCCUGCUCCCUUUUAAAGUCAUUCAACAUUUCUCAUUUCCUUAACCAAUACUAUGUUCCCAUUAAAAUUUCCUGGAGAAUAAUAACCAAUUUGGUUUUAGAAGUAGUUUUUAUUUUCAGUCUUCUUCCUCAGAUUUUCCUUGCAAAUAUUGUGCUUUCUCAGCAAAUCUGUUGUAUGCUUCUUGUCUUUGGAAAUCCUGGGGUUUUGUAGCGUGCAUUUUGCUCUAAGAGCAUUUGACAUCCUGCAAGUAGAAGCAGCUCUAAGCUUUACAAAUUAAGGGUCAGAUUAGCGCAGCGGAUCGUGGCCAGACGUUCGGAUGUUGCAUUAUCAUCACUUUGAAUUUUUCCUUCGAUGGCUCAACAGAGAGAACAAAGAGAAAUCUGAACUCACAAUCAUAUGUAGCAAGCAAAGUCACAGCUCACACCCAUAAGAACAACAGCUCACACCCAUAAGAACAAGUUAAAGGUAGAUAGAUUUAGCCGAAAAGCCGCAAGGUUCCCAUAAAGCAAUGGAAACAAGCCUUUUUGUGCUGGCAACAACUCUCUUAAGAACCCUCCUCCCUCACAACUUAUUGAAAACAAAAUGCCAAUAGGGACCAUCCAUCCAUGGAAGAAAACAAAGAAGAAAAUCCAACCAUUCAAGUAUGUGAAGGUCUGAAAGAGAGGAGUCGUAAAAAACUGCAUCCGAAUUUUGAUCAUAUCCUUUGCCAUAAAUGAAUAUGGAAGUGAAGGCCUCUUGGUUCCAAAAUUUCUUUGUGGAGACCCACUGAAAGGAUCUCAAGCACGCUCUUGGCUGUCGUAGGCUUCAUGAUGUGUACAGAAAAGCAACCCAACCCCACAAUCUGCUCUUGUCUUCUCAUGUUGUCUGCCCAUUCAUCUAAUUAAGGCAUUCUAUUGACCUUCAGAACUGCCUUCUUGUGUGUGAUCCCCAGUUUGUUAAGACUUGUGGGGCUUGUACUCCAUGCCUAGCAUGUUCAGUGGUCAUCUGUCGAGUCUUUCAAAUUUUGAACAAUGACGUUGAGGCUCGGAGGCCAGAGCCUCUGUGGGCCGAAAGGUCUUGAAAA